rnacentral:rRNA from 1 species
GACGAACGCUGGCGGCGUGCUUAACACAUGCAAGUCGAACGGAAAGGCCUCUUUCGGGGGGUACUCGAGUGGCGAACGGGUGAGUAACACGUGAGUAACCUGCCCUUGACUUUGGGAUAACUUCAGGAAACUGGGGCUAAUACCGGAUAGGAGCUCCUGCUGCAUGGUGGGGGUUGGAAAGUUUCGGCGGUUGGGGAUGGACUCGCGGCUUAUCAGCUUGUUGGUGGGGUAGUGGCUUACCAAGGCUUUGACGGGUAGCCGGCCUGAGAGGGUGACCGGCGCCAUGGGGCCUAGGGUACGGCCAGACUCCUACGGGAGGCAGCAGUGGGGAAUAUUGCACAAUGGGUGGAAGCCUGAUGCAGCAACGCCGUGUGCGGGAUGACGGCCUUCGGGUUGUAAACCGCUUUCGCUCAUGACGAAGCUUUGUGUGACGGUAGUGGGUAAAGAAGCACCGGCUAACUACGUG